GGGGGGGGGGGGCUACUGAACAGUGCACCUGCAAUUCAAUACUGCUGUUUCUAAAGAGCCCCACACACACACACGCACAGGCCACUGCACUCAGUAUUUGGAUCCAUUGCUGAUUGGAACGCGUUGCUGAUGGGCGUUGCCAUAGGAACGAACCAGUAACCCAGGGUUACAUAUCCAUAAAAUAAAUAAAUAAAUAAAUAAAUAAAUACAGAUAAAAGGCCAGGAUGUGGCUGCUGUUAGGACACGAGAGCAGUUUGAACACUGACCGGCUUUAACGUCGUCACGCGGGCAGACCUUUUCUCUCCUGCUGAAGAUUUAAGAGCUGACCGGAGGACUCGCUGAGAAAGUUGUAUAAAUUAGUACUAAGUAAUAAGGCCUUGUCGUUCUUUACACACACACACACACACACACACACUAGUUCUCCAGGAAUCAAGCUCUCAGCUCUAAGAAUAGUAGACAUGUCGAGCUUGUUAGUAAUGAUGUGGUAUAAAUGAGAGAUUGCGACUCUUUAGACUCCCCGAUCUGUCUCUCUGUCUUUGUGUCUGUCUGUAUCACUCUGAAGGAAAGAACUGCUGAAUGAUUCAGUAUUCUGAGUGUAAGAAUAGCACACUCUUCCUGCAGGUCUAGGGAGAGAAAGAGAAAGAGAAAGAAAAGAAAAAAAAGAAUUAUCUUUGUAAAGCAGCCAAUUAAAGAUCAGGGAUAGUGUUUUUUUUUUGUUUUUUUUUAGGAGAGGGGGAUUUUUUUUGGACUUGGCAAUAUUAAGCACGCUAAAACCUGCUGUACAUUUCGAUUGCAACAAGACUGUCCUUCUAAGCAAACUAAAGUUUCACGUUUCGAGACGUGUGGAGAUCCUGUGGCUCAUGCAUUUCGCCUAUAUUCUCCUCAUUUCCCCCAGAGGCGCGCCGUCAAGUUCAGCCACGCGCCCUUGUUUUUAUUGUGCCACCAAUUAGCCAAUAGUCAGAGAGCAACUAGCGCUCGCCUUUCGCCUCCACAAUUCCUCCAAAGAAACUCAAAGUUUGGAUAUUUAAACGCGCUUUUUUUCCCCCUUCCCGCAUAUCUUCUUUUCCUCGUCCCAGACCACGCGUUUUGCUUUUUGUUUGUUUUUGCUUGCUUCUUGUUGUUUGUUUUGGGGUUUUUUUUGGUCCCUACUCAGGGACUAUUGACACGUCUCGCGCGCGUUUGUGCAAUUCUAAAACGCGCACCUAAACAACAAUAAGGAAGGACAGGAGAGCUUUCCAACUUCCGUACACAGAGUUGAGCCGCGCGGCAUGGACGCACCAGCAACGCGUUUUGGGAAAACCGAGAAAGAAAGUAAGUCGGUGCUCAGGAGGAAGAAGAAGAAGAAGAAGAAGAAGAAGAAGAAGGAGCAGAGCAUGGUUGCACUUGGGUUAUUACCUUGUUGCAGUGGUAAUAGUCCAGAGAGGCGAGGCUGGAGUCGGUGGAUAACGUGCAGGAGCCCACGCUCGAAGGGGGUGCAGGAUAAAAUCUCACAUCCAUCGCCCGCUCCGCUCCACUGAAGGCAUGAAAACAGGUUCAGCGUCUACGAGUCUCUCUCUCUCUCUCUCUCUCUCUCUCUCUCCUCUCUCUCUCUCUCUCUCCUCUCUCUCUCGGGCGCGCUUGCUCUAUUGUUAACCCAAACAAAAAAGAAACAGAACGAUUGAAAGAAGAAAAAAAGGGGUUGAGUCUCUCUCUCUCUCUCUCUCUCUCUCUCUCUCUCCAGGCGCUCUUUCCCUCACAUCCGUUCGCGGUUUUUCACUUCAGCACGAAAAAAAAACAAAACAACAACAAACAAAAAAACACGCAUCAUCCGCUCAGUUCUGCCUGAGGACGGUGUGCUGACUUCUGUUUGGGUUUCACCGGACCGACCGCAAAUAUAUCAAUAUAAAUAUAACGCUAUAUAAAGUUCACUUUCAGCCUACAAGCCAGGAAAUAGUGCACCCUGUUAUAAAAAAAUAAAAUAAUAAAAUUUAAAAAAUUGUCUGCAAGAAUGUAUAGCUAAACUGCGACCUGACGAUUCCUGCGCGUGACCUUUUCAAAAACACAGCGUUCACAUCCGUUAUGGUCGCGCGCCGUGUACGGGUUUGGUAUUAAGUGUGUAGUAGUAGUAGGACAACGCGUCCAUGCGUUCAGGAGCCAUGGGAAAUGCCAAGCGACCUCUGCCGUUGGGAAAAGGAACAGAGAGAGAGAAAGAGAGA
ensembl:lncRNA